CCUACGGGAGGCAGCAGUGGGGAAUUUUGGACAAUGGGCGCAAGCCUGAUCCAGCAAUGCCGCGUGAGUGAAGAAGGCCUUCGGGUUGUAAAGCUCUUUUGUCAGGGAAGAAACGGUGGGGGCUAAUAUCCCCUGCUAAUGACGGUACCUGAAGAAUAAGCACCGGCUAACUACGUGCCAGCAGCCGCGGUAAUACGUAGGGUGCAAGCGUUAAUCGGAAUUACUGGGCGUAAAGCGUGCGCAGGCGGUUUUGAAGUUUGUCGUGAAAUCCCCGGGCUCAACCUGGGAAUGGCGAUGAAGACUGCAAGGCUAGAAUCUGGCAGAGGGGGGUAGAAUUCCACGUGUAGCAGUGAAAUGCGUAGAGAUGUGGAGGAACACCGAUGGCGAAGGCAGCCCCCUGGGUCAAGAUUGACGCUCAUGCACGAAAGCGUGGGGAGCAAACAGGAUUAGAUACCCUGGUAGUCCACGCCCUAAACGAUGUCUACUAGUUGUUCGGUUUUAAUUAACGUUGGUAACGCAGCUAACGCGUAGAAGUAGACCGCCGUGGGGAGUACGGUCGCAAGUAAUUAAAACCGCGAAAAGGAAGUUGGACGGCGUGAGACGUGCCGACGGACGACGACGAGGGAGGUUAGG
rnacentral:rRNA from 1 species